rnacentral:rRNA from 1 species
CCGAAAGUUAAUACAUGCAAGUCGAGCGAGUGGAUUCAGAGCUUGCUCUUAUGAAGUUAGCGGCGGACGGGUGAGUAACACGUGGGUAACCUGCCCAGAAGACUGGGAUAACUCCGGGAAACCGGGGCUAAUACCGGAUAACAUUUUGAAUCGCAUGGUUCGAAAUUGAAAGGCGGCUUCGGCUGUCACUUAUGGAUGGACCCGCGUCGCAUUAGCUAGUUGGUGAGGUAACGGCUCACCAAGGCAACGAUGCGUAGCCGACCUGAGAGGGUGAUCGGCCACACUGGGACUGAGACACGGCCCAGACUCCUACGGGAGGCAGCAGUAGGGAAUCUUCCGCAAUGGACGAAAGUCUGACGGAGCAACGCCGCGUGAGUGAUGAAGGCUUUCGGGUCGUAAAAC